rnacentral:lncRNA from 1 species
AAUACUAGGUCAUUGAUAAAUGACAAGUUUUUUAGGCUAUGAUACAUGGGAGUAUCUCUAGGCCCUAAUUUUCUCGAUGAUAUGUGUGACGUGCCAUGCCUAUUUAGCCUCUGGGUUUUAGGAGAAUUUAUAUUGUUUGGUCCUGUAUGAGGAAACUCUAACUCCCUCAGGCGAGAGUUAAAUAGCCUGGGAAAUCUAAGUCCCUUAUGCAAAGUUAUGCAAAGUUAUAUGUAAUUAAAAACCAUUUCAUCUACCCCAUAGUUGAAAGAGAUAUUUUGAUACUCAUAUUGAUUAACAAAAAAAAUUAAUAACAAAUGAAAUUUUCAUAUAAGAUUGCAACGAAGAGAUGACUAACACCAACUAAACUGUCAAAUUCUGUCGCCAAAUGUUUCAAUUUUGAAAAACUAUGAUUCUCUAAAUAUCUCUCUUGUUGCUAAGUAUUUAUGUAACUUUACAUAACAUAUACACUUAUUUAAAUAGAAACGUCAUAAUGGGUUUUUAGGUUGAUAAAAAUAGUUAAAAGAGGCCAAUUUUAGUCUGCAGCGCAUGGCGUAGAUGUAAUAUGCUCCCAAAUUCUCACGCGUCGACCUUCGAAUUAUUAAAAAGAAAAAACAAUUUACAUCAAUAUGCCUGCACCGCACGUGACCACCUCAUCGAGGUGCCAAGUCUCAAUGCAGUAAAGUGUUAUUUUGAAUUUAUAUUUUUGGACUUCUAAUGGUAUUUACUUACUUGCUCCAUAAUAACUUCUUGAAUAUGCGUACGUCUCGAAUCGAUAAUCUAAAAUGUGAGAUUAAAAAUAGAACAAAUACUAUAAAAAUUUAAUAAUAAUAUAUAUAAUAUGACUCAUGUGAAGAGGUAUUAUGAAAGAGCGUUAUUCAAAUAAUAUGAAAAGAUGUUAUUCAAAUAAUAUAAAAAGAUGUUAUUCAAAUAAUAUGAAGGGGUGUUAUUCAAAUAAUAUGAAGUGGUGUUAUUUAAAUAAUAUGUGAAAUGGUAUUAGUCAAAUAAAGUGAUUAGGUAUCAUUCAAAUAAAGUGAAAAUGUAUUAUUGUGAAUGAGCAUGAAUAACAUCUAUAAAGAAAAGGGUUAUUAUAAAGGGUUAUGAAUAAUAUCUAUAAAUAGUGAUGGCAUGAUGAGAGUCAUAACACGAUAAUUGAACAAAUGAUUAUAUUCCUUCCAUAAUAAUUUCUCUACAAAAUAGCCAUCAAGAAAGGGUUUUGAGAAACAAUAAAUGGGAAAAGGAUAGAUUGGGUGUUGAUUACAAUCGUCUUUAAUCAUCAUAAAAUAAAGUAUACAUUUUAAUGUAUUUAUGUUUGUGAGAAUCAUAUAUUCUAAGAUCCAUAUAACGAUGCUAGUUUCUUAAUGAAUUUGUAGUAUGAAUGAAAUAUAACUUACAUGCGGUAUCAGAGAAUUAGGUUGUAGAACUACGUGAUUGACUAUGAACGUUAUUUUUUCCCCUCAAAUUUAUUAUGAACUUUAAUAAUAAAAUUUAGAAUUUUGAAAAUUAUGUUUUCCGCUGUAUAUGUUAUGAUUGAUUUUUAAUUAAAGCAUUCUCUAACAUUUAUUCAAUUUCAUGUAAUGUCUUCCGUGUAUAUAUACAUUAUUUUAUUUUUAAGGACAAUUGUGUAUUUUGUCUAUUGUAUGUUUUGUCUAUGAUUAUAUAAAUUAAAUAUUAUGAAAGUUUGUUAAUCACCAAAGUGGUCAAACUUAUAAGUUUAUU